rnacentral:misc_RNA from 1 species
GAACUGCGAUAAGUAAUGUGAAUUGCAGAAUUCAGUGAAUCAUCGAGUCUUUGAACGCACAUUGCGCCCCCUGGCAUUCCGGGGGGCAUGCCUGUCCGAGCGUCAUUGCUGCCCUUCAAGCCCGGCUUGUGUGUUGGGUCGUCGUCCCCUCCGGGGGACGGGCCCGAAAGGCAGCGGCGGCACCGCGUCCGGUCAUCGAGCGUAUGGGGCUUUGUCACCCGCUCGAUAAGGACCGGCCGGGCGCCAGCCGGCGUCUCCAACCUUUUUUUCUCAGGUUGACCUCGGAUCAGGUAGGGAUACCCGCUGAACUUAAGC